GUUAGCAACACUAUUUUUGCAUAUUCCUCCUCUGGAGCUCCUCUAACCGUACAUACCCCAUUCAUACCGAAAUCCGUUUUUUUUCUUGACCGCCAAAGUAAUCGGAAUCGAUAACUGAUUUUGGACGACCUUUACCAAAUCCAUCCCGAGGUGAUCUACCACAUCGAUUGAUUUCAUCAUAACCUCGAUAAGCCCAGGCCCUUGAUGGAGCCUCAUUGCAAAAAACUAAGUUAAGUUCAAAAAUAAUUGUUCGCAAAUGUUCCCUGUUUUAAUUUAAUUUAAUUUUAUUUAUUUGCCGAGAUGUACAUAUAUUUCAAGUUACUGUAAACAACAAAAAUAGCGGUCGUAUAUCAAAACGUUAUCGUCAGCUGUUCUUGCUGACGUCACGGUUGACUUAUUAUUCGCCCGCGCCUUUGAAUGUGAAAGAAAUUUGCAGUUUGAAAUGGGUUUAAGUUCGCGGAGUCUAACGAAGUUGCUACCUAGCGCUUUUCUCACGUUAACCAGAUUAACUCCUGCAGAGGCUAAUGAACGGCAGAAAAGGAUGGAGUCUUGUUUAAACCACUGUUUCUUAUCCUAAUUGCAAUAUUUUUCAACGUGUGUCAGUUGAUCUAUUCUGACCCA
rnacentral:lncRNA from 1 species